AGUUUGAUCCUGGCUCAGAUUGAACGCUGGCGGCAUGCCUUACACAUGCAAGUCGAACGGCAGCACGGGAGCUUGCUCCUGGUGGCGAGUGGCGAACGGGUGAGUAAUACAUCGGAACGUACCCUGAAGUGGGGAUAACGUAGCGAAAGUUACGCUAAUACCGCAUAUUCUGUGAGCAGGAAAGAGGGGGAUCGCAAGACCUCUUGCUUUAGGAGCGGCCGAUGUCGGAUUAGCUAGUUGGUGAGGUAAAGGCUCACCAAGGCGACGAUCCGUAGCGGGUCUGAGAGGAUGAUCCGCCACACUGGGACUGAGACACGGCCCAGACUCCUACGGGAGGCAGCAGUGGGGAAUUUUGGACAAUGGGCGCAAGCCUGAUCCAGCCAUGCCGCGUGAGUGAAGAAGGCCUUCGGGUUGUAAAGCUCUUUCGGUGGGGAAGAAAUUGCUUCGGUUAAUACCUGGAGUAGAUGACGGUACCCGCAUAAGAAGCACUGGCUAACUACGUG
rnacentral:rRNA from 1 species